ensembl:snoRNA U3 Small nucleolar RNA U3
AAGACUGUACUUUCAGGGAUCAUUUCUAUAGUUUUGAUACUAGAAAAGUUUCUCUGAAUGUGUAGAGCACCAACAGAAAC